GGAAUAUUGCACAAUGGGCGCAAGCCUGAUGCAGCGACGCCGCGUGAGGGAUGACGGCCUUCGGGUUGUAAACCUCUUUCAGUAGGGAAGAAGCGAAAGUGACGGUACCUGCAGAAGAAGCGCCGGCUAACUACGUGCCAGCAGCCGCGGUAAUACGUAGGGCGCAAGCGUUAUCCGGAAUUAUUGGGCGUAAAGAGCUCGUAGGCGGUUUGUCGCGUCUGCUGUGAAAGACCGGGGCUCAACUCCGGUUCUGCAGUGGGUACGGGCAGACUAGAGUGCAGUAGGGGAGACUGGAAUUCCUGGUGUAGCGGUGAAAUGCGCAGAUAUCAGGAGGAACACCGAUGGCGAAGGCAGGUCUCUGGGCUGUAACUGACGCUGAGGAGCGAAAGCAUGGGGAGCGAACAGGAUUAGAUACCCGGG
rnacentral:rRNA from 1 species